GACGAACGCUGGCGGCGUGCCUAAUACAUGCAAGUAGAACGCAGUUGCGAACGGGUGAGUAAAGCGUAGGUAACUGCCGCAUAACGGGGGAUAACACUUGGAAACGAUAGCUAAUACCGAAUACUAUGAGAUGGACCUGCGUUGUAUUAGCGAGUUAGUGAGGUAAAGGCUCCACAAGGCGACGAUACAUAGCCGACUUGAGAAGGUGGUCCGCACCACCGGGACUGAGGACCGGCCCAGAAUCCUUAGGGAGGCAGCAGGAGGGAAUCUUCGGCAAUGGACGGAAGUCUGACCGAGCCACGCCGCGGGGGUGAAGAAGGUUUUCGGAUCGUAAAGCUCUUUUGUUAGAGAAGCGUUAACUAACCAGAAAGCGACGGCUAACUACGUGCCAGCCGCCGCGGUAAUUC
rnacentral:rRNA from 1 species